AUACGGAGGGUGCAAGCGUUGUUCGGAAUUACUGGGCGUAAAGCGCGUGUAGGCGGCCUGGCAAGUCAGACGUGAAAGCCCUCGGCUUAACCGGGGAAGUGCGCCUGAAACUGCCAGGCUUGAGUACGGGAGAGGGAGGCGGAAUUCCCAGUGUAGAGGUGAAAUUCGUAGAUAUUGGGAGGAACACCGGUGGCGAAAGCGGCCUCCUGGACCGAUACUGACGCUGAGACGCGAGAGCGUGGGUAGC
rnacentral:rRNA from 1 species